rnacentral:lncRNA from 1 species
UGGAUAAAAAAACUAGUCAUGAUUAUUAUUCAUUUAUCAGAACUUAUUUAAAAUGACGUUACAACACUAAUGACGUCACGUAAUAAAGUUAAGAAUAUCACGACGAACUAUUUUCAAAACUUGAGAGCUUUGGGUCAAGCCAUUAUCGAUCUCUGGUGUGCAAAAGAAAAAAAACGUGGCAUUGUUAACACCUUAAUGGACUUCAAUGUGAAGAAUAUCUAAUUCAACUACACCAUCCCAAGGUUAAAGAUUCCAACAUUAUGGAGGACAGAAAUAAAUUGGCAUGGGGCGUAUUGUUGAAUUCCAUGGAAUCGCCUCGACGAGGAAAUCAUUUGUAAAUUGUGCCAAGGUGGGAAUGAGAAGUUUGAGGAUGUCAGGGUCGGUUGCAAGUUAGGGAAGAAUAUGUACGAACAAAAUUGCAUUAUUCUCCGAAUAACAACUAUUACUUGACGAUAUGACUACUCAUUCAACACAUUAAUGCAUCGACCAUAAAUUAAAGUUCUCAAUCUCAUAUCACGUCUUAUGAUAUAAAUCAUGCUAAUUUUGUCUCAUCUAAUCAGAAUAAGUCUUUGUACAAUCAAGAGAAUUUAUCUCAAACUAAAAAUAGUGCUAUAGGUGUAUUAUGUGAAGCAUUGGUUUUCAAACUGAGAAGCGCAUGUAGUUGUAAAUGUCACCUCAAGGUUUUAGUAAUAAACAUAUAUGCAGUG